UACGUAGGGGUGCAAGCGUUGUCCGGAAUUAUUGGGCGUAAAGAGCUCGUAGGCGGUUUGUCGCGUCGAAUGUGAAAACCCGGGGCUCAACCCCGGGCCUGCAUUCGAUACGGGCAGAACUAGAGUUCGGUAGGGGAGUCUGGAAUUCCUGGUGAGCGGUGAAAUGCGCAGAUAUCAGGAGGAACACCGGUGGCGAAGGCGGGUCUCUGGGCCGAUGACUGACGCUGGAGGAGCGAAAGCGUGGGGAGCGAACCGG
rnacentral:rRNA from 1 species